UUAAUUUUCAGAUGCAUCAAAGCUGCCACGGCUUGCUCUGCAACUGAGAUGGACCACCGGAAGGAAGGACCUCGUUCAUGAAGUGGGCACUGAGCAUGGGCGGAAGGAAGUUCCCAGCGACCUCAGGGAGGAAGCGCUGCCCGUCUUUCUGAGCGUCUGUCCUGCCCUCUCUUGAGUAUUUGGAGAACCGUGAGGUCCACGCCGGGCGCCGCGUUCACCUCCACGUUCACGUUGCCUCCGGCCGCGCACUGCAGCGCCCUCAUCUCCUGCGGGGAAACUUGGGCGUGACCCCAGAGCCGUGACCUGCGCUCCUGUUACUUUAUAUCUCCAAGUUUGUGGUUUAACUUCGAGUUGUCUAAGGUCAGCAUUUGCCUCCUCCAGAGCUCGCACGUUAUCCAGGUAGGAUGCCAGGCGGUCAUUGAGAUUCUGCAUAGUCACCUUCUCAUUCCCAGAGAGGAGGCCCCCCUCACUUCCGGCAAAGCCAGCACAAGCAGCACUUCCAAGGGUACCACCAGCAUGGUUCCCGACAGAAGUACUGCCCAGGCCCCCUCCCAAAGCACUGGAGAAUCCACUUCCGGCACUAGAGCUGCUGCAUAUAUUGCUGCUUGCAAAGCCAGCGCCUCCACUGGAUGGUCUGAGAGAUCCAGCGCCAGCCCGUAAGCAAAUAUGCCUGGACCCACUGGAAAAUCGGAGAGACAUGGUAGCGUGAGAAAUGUUUGCCUUGUCUGUGGGCAGCUGUAACGUCAAAGGAGAACAGAACAUCAUGUGCUGAGGGUUUACUCUGGGCUUUUAUACACAAUUAUUGGGGUGUCACAGUUGGAGUUGUGCGCGCCAAAAGAAAAAAAGGCACCGUUCAGAUAAGCAUGAAAUUAUGUAUCAUUGGGUGACUUUUGGGGGGGGGGGAGGUAAAUGAAUGUCUACCAUCCUGGCUGUUGCUGUAGGAUAUUUGUUAUCUUCAGUAUAAUAAGGUUCCUGCUAUAUUAAGGUCAUUAUUUUAACUUCUCAUUUGGGGUGAGUCAUCCUUUACUUUCAUCUAGACCCUAGGACUAUACCAUCAUUAUCUGGCACAGGUUAUUAUAAAGUUUUGAAAGUUUAGUAAGAUUAAAGUCUCAAAAUUAAAGAAGUGGUAGGGUGCCAUCAGCUGCAGUAGGGUCUUAAUUACCAGAGAAUUAUAUAAAGCAUCGUUAACUACAGAAACACAUUUCAUCCCACCAUAGCAAAAACACCGUGGUAACGACUUUGCUCUUAGCAUGAUUACGACUGUUCCUUACCUGGAACAAUAACAUAAGUAUUGACUGAUUCCUAUAUUUAACAUGUAUGGCUACGAUGUUUGGGGUUCAGUGGUAAAUGUAAAAAUAAAGACGUGGUGCUCCAUAACUGCA